AGUGCUGGGACUGCAGCUGUGAGCCACCAUGCCCAGCCUGUUUUUCUUUGAAAGAUAAAUUUUUUAACAUAAUGUUUUACAUACAAACAUUCAAGGGUACUUUGGCUUUAAGAACUUCAGGAUUUCUGGUGCAGGAAAAGUGCUUGAAGCAGUAUCACCAUGAUUUGAAAUAUUAAAAAGUCUGGUGAACCAGACGCUGAGUCAUAACAGUCAUCUGUGUUCAAGGGAUCCUUUCAUUGAUCAUUUUGUUAUUAUGCUGCCCUUCACAGAAGGCAAUGUCCAGGGCAGGAUCAUGUGGCCCCUGGCAAAUGCUGAUCUGUGAUGUAAUAGAAAUUAUAUGAAUUCACGGUCUUUAUUAACAGUUUAAUCAUGCUAUAAUAUAGUCUUUUUGUCUUGUUCAGGGCUGGUAUUGGGGUGCCCUGAUUGAAUUACUUGGAUUUAAACAAUAAACUGUGGGCUCUGGACUUACACAGUAGAGGCCUUUACUGUUUCUUUGUAGGCGAUGGGGGUCCCAGCCUUUGAAACAUUUUUUUCCCUUUUUGUAGUGAGGGUGCCACUGAGGAGUUCAGCUUUUGUCAGUGUCCCCAUAGUGGCAGACGGGAGUGCUAUCCUAUGGCCUAAUUAGUCAAGACUUUUCUUUCAUUUAAUAGAAAUCAGCUUUAAUUUCUAGCUUUAAUUUUUAUUUUUACCCUUAAUUAUACAAGUAAGAUAGAAAUAUUUUCUUUGCAAGAAUUAAAACAUUGCAUAUAGGCCUUAAAUUUCCUCUUAUUUCCUCUGAAUAAUCCUGAUUCCAGUCAUCUUGCUGAACACCCUAGUUCUAAGAAUCGACCCUUGCUUUUCUAGAGAAAUAAUUCCACAUGCCAGUUUUGUCUCUUCCUUUUACAGCUGUAUACCACUUCUGGGUCAUUUUGCAUUGCCUAGGACUUACAGAAUAAUGUUUCACAAAUAGUAGUAGUCACAGGCAUCCAUAUCUGGCUUCUGACUUUUUCAUCAUUGUUUUCUGUGGGUUACUUGACCAGUUACUUGAUCAGUUUCCUUAAUUACUACUUGGGCAACCUUCCCAGUAUUGGUAUGUACUUCCUAGUAUUAGUAUAUUCCCAGAUGAACUAAGAGUGUUUUUUUAUGCGUUGAGAUUUAUGGUAUACUUCUUCCUCUUCCUUCAAGAUAAUGUAUUCUUUUUUUUACAUUUAAUCUGUUAAUGUGAUGGAUUACCUAUUUGUAUAUUUUCAAUCAUUGAACCACCUUGUUUUUUUAGAUAAAGUCUAUUACACAUCAUUCUAUAAACCCUGCUGAAUUUCAUUUGCCAACAUUUAUUUCAGAUUCUUUUAAUCUGUGUCCAACAAUGAGAAUGGUUUUCUUUUACAAUUUGUUUUGAAUUUUUGGUAUCAGAGCUAUACUAACUUUGUAGUGGAAAAUACAUAUAAUUUGAAAAAUUUUGUGUCUGUAUGUAAGGCCUCCAUUUCAGUUCUAUUUCAUAUUGCCUUAAGUUGUCUCUUUAUUGUAUUUGCCUUUUUAAUGAACCAGAUUUUGGUUUUGUCAUUUUUUAAAUAAACAGGGUUAUGCUAUAAACUUCCUUCAUUAUUACUUGGGCAACCUUCCCAGUAUUGGUAUGUUGUUUCUUUUUUUCCCUAAGAAUUCUUUAAGAGUAUAUUUCAACUUCUGGGCGUACUGAUUUUUCAUUGACUUAUAUGUGAUCAAUUUCUGCAGAUGUUUCCUGUGUCUUUGGUACAUUGUUAACUGUACAACUAAAAUUUGCUUCCUGCCUUAUCUAUGCUCUUUGAUUCAAGAAGGCUGAGUCUCCUGCUAGGUGUGUAAAUAACCAAAACAUUUCCUUCCUUGAGAGACCCCCAGGCCCUGCCCCAAGUCAUUUCAUGAAAUACAAGGAAAACCUCAAAUACAAUGAACAUUUUAUUUUAAAAAAAUCUAACUCACCACUUGGUAAAAGGUUACCAAAUGUUUAUGACAGAGGAAAUAAAUGCCCUGGUAUUAGAAAGACAAUAAGAAUAAAAAAGACCUUUAGUUCUCAGGAACCAGUGUUAGAGAACUCUGAUAUACAACCCCCAGAAAUGAGGCAGAGAUAGAUGAAAUGUUUCAACCUGCGUUAAAAAAAAAAAAAAUGCCAUCAGGCGAAAAGACGGGGAGCACAAGGAACAGCACUGCCGAUUUUAAGAGGGAGACCACCCUAACCAAAAACCAGAAAUCACCACUUUGUUCUUGGAAGGGGAAUGGACAUUAAACAGAACUUAAAAUCACGGACUAAGAGAGCAUUAUAUUAAAUAACUCUUUCCUUAAAAAUGGCCUGACCACAGGAACAAAUCUGUAAACACAGGGUAAUUUUUUUUCCCUAAAGAGUCAGUUUAAUUUCAAAAGACACUUUCACUGUUCUAAAUGAGAAGAUUUUAAACAUUUUUUCCUAUAUAAUACAGCAUCACUUACAAUUUUAUUUAAAGACAGUUGAUUCAGGUGUGCCUUGGACUGGAAAGAAGGCUUUAAAAUACUGGGGUCAGUGCU